AGUAACGCGUAGGCAAUCUACCUUUAGGACGGGGACAACUCCGAGAAAUCGGGGCUAAUACCCGAUGAUGCAGCGGCACCGCAUGGUGAUUGUUGUUAAAGGCCCGAAAGGGUGCCUAUUGAUGAGCCUGCGUCCCAUUAGGUAGUUGGCGGGGUAACAGCCCACCAAGCCAACGAUGGGUAGCUGGUCUGAGAGGAUGACCAGCCACACUGGAACUGAGACACGGUCCAG
rnacentral:rRNA from 1 species